GAUGAGAUCAAGCGUCAGUAGGGCGUUUGGUGGAUGCCUUGGCGGCAAGAGGCGAUGAAGGACGUGGCACGCUGCGAUAAGUACCGGGGAGUUGCGAGCAAACUUUGAUCCGGUAAUUUCCGAAUGGGGAAACCCACCUUUACCGACCCCGGCGGUCGCUCGUCAGAGUAAUCUGGCGGACGAUCACCGGAGUGGGUGAAAGGUAUUAAAACCUGAAUACAUAGGGUUUUAAGGCGAACCUGGGGAACUGAAACAUCUAAGUACCCAGAGGAAAGGACAUCAACAGAGACUCCGUUAGUAGCGGCGAGCGAACGCGGACCAGGCCAGUGCCAUUGGAUGCGACAGCAGAACGGUAUGGAAAGACCGGCCAUAGCGGGUGAUAGCCCCGUAUGCGAUACCAAUUCCAGUGGACUUGAGUAAGGCGGGACACGUGAAAUCCUGUCUGAACGUGGGGGGACCACCCUCCAAGCCUAAGUACUCCUUGCCGACCGAUAGCGAACCAGUACCGUGAGGGAAAGGUGAAAAGCACCCCGACGAGGGGAGUGAAACAGAUCCUGAAACCGGACGCCUACAAGCAGUCGGAGCCCGAAAGGGUGACGGCGUACCUUUUGUAUAAUGGGUCAGCGACUUUGUCUCUCGAGCAAGCUUAAGCCGAUAGGUGUAGGCGCAGCGAAAGCGAGUCUGAAUAGGGCGAUGAGUUCGAGGGAUAAGACCCGAAACCGAGUGAUCUAGGCAUGUGCAGGUUGAAGGUGCGGUAACACGCACUGGAGGACCGAACCCACGUCUGUUGAAAAAGACGGGGAUGACGUGUGCCUAGGGGUGAAAGGCCAAUCAAACUCGGAGAUAGCUGGUUCUCCGCGAAAUCUAUUUAGGUAGAGCGUCGUGUAUUACCCUCGGGGGUAGAGCACUGGAUGGGCUAGGGGGCCUCACCGGCUUACCAAACCUAACCAAACUCCGAAUACCGGGGAGUACAGCACGGCAGACACACAGCGGGUGCUAAGGUCCGUUGUGGAGAGGGAAACAGCCCUGACCGCCAGCUAAGGUCCCCAAGUUAUCACUAAGUGGGAAACGAUGUGGGAAUGCUUAGACAACCAGGAGGUUGGCUUAGAAGCAGCCAUCCUUUAAAGAAAGCGUAACAGCUCACUGGUCAAGCGUUCCUGCGCGGAAAAUGUAACGGGGCUUAAGUGAUACACCGAAGCUGCGGGCUCGAAAGAGCGGUAGCGGAGCGUUCUGUACGUCUGUGAAGGGUGACCCGCGAGGGCACCUGGAGAUAUCAGAAGUGAGAAUGCUGACAUGAGUAGCGAUAAAGAGUGUGAGAGACACUCUCGCCGAAAGUCCAAGGGUUCCUGCGCAAUGCUAAUCAGCGCAGGGUAAGCCGGCCCCUAAGGCGAGGCCGAAAGGCGUAGUCGAUGGGAACCACGUUAAUAUUCGUGGGCCAGCGGGUAGUGACGGAUUCUGGAAGUAGUUCGACCUUAUCGGAUUGGUCGGGCUGCCAAGGCGUCCCUGGAAAUAGCUCCCGCAUGAGACCGUACCCCAAACCGACACAGGUGGACUGGUAGAGCAUACCAAGGCGCUUGAGAGAACUCUGCUGAAGGAACUCGGCAAAUUACUCCCGUAAGUUCGCGAGAAGGGAGCCUGGCUGCGCGCAAGCGUAGUCCAGGGGCACAGACCAGGGGGUGGCGACUGUUUACUAAAAACACAGGGCUCUGCGAAGUCGCAAGACGACGUAUAGGGUCUGACGCCUGCCCGGUGCCGGAAGGUUAAAAGGAGGGGUGCAAGCUCCGAAUUGAAGCCCCGGUAAACGGCGGCCGUAACUAUAACGGUCCUAAGGUAGCGAAAUUCCUUGUCGGGUAAGUUCCGACCUGCACGAAUGGCGUAACGACUUCCCCACUGUCUCCAGCAGAGACUCAGCGAAAUUGAAUUCUCCGUGAAGAUGCGGAGUUCCCGCGGUCAGACGGAAAGACCCCGUGCACCUUUACUACAACUUCACAGUGGCAUUAGCGAUGAUAUGUGUAGGAUAGGCGGGAGGCUUUGAAACCAGAGCGCCAGUUCUGGUGGAGCCAUCCUUGAAAUACCGCCCUUAUCCUCGUUGAUGUCUAACCGCGGACCGUGAACCCGGUCCCGGGACACUGUGUGGUGGGUAGUUUGACUGGGGCGGUCGCCUCCCAAAGAGUAACGGAGGCGCGCGAUGGUGGGCUCAGAGCGGUCGGAAAUCGCUCGGUGAGUGCAAUGGCAUAAGCCCGCCUGACUGUGAGACUGACAGGUCGAGCAGAGUCGAAAGACGGCCAUAGUGAUCCGGUGGUCCCGCGUGGAAGGGCCAUCGCUCAACGGAUAAAAGGUACGCCGGGGAUAACAGGCUGAUGAUGCCCAAGAGUCCAUAUCGACGGCAUUGUUUGGCACCUCGAUGUCGGCUCAUCGCAUCCUGGGGCUGGAGCAGGUCCCAAGGGUUUGGCUGUUCGCCAAUUAAAGCGGUACGUGAGCUGGGUUUAGAACGUCGUGAGACAGUUCGGUCCCUAUCUGCCGUGGGUGUCGGAUACUUGAGAGGAGCUGUCCCUAGUACGAGAGGACCGGGAUGGACGCACCUCUGGUGGACCUGUUGUUGCGCCAGCAGCAUAGCAGGGUAGCUAAGUGCGGACGGGAUAACCGCUGAAAGCAUCUAAGCGGGAAGCCCCCCUCAAAACAAGGUAUCCCUAUCAGAGCCGUGGAAGACCACCACGUUGAUAGGCUGGAAGUGGAAGCGCAGCAAUGUGUGGAGCGGACCAGUACUAAUAGCUCGAUUGGCUUGAUCUUAUGACACUCA
rnacentral:rRNA from 1 species